CGGCGGACGGGUGAGUAACACGUGGAUAACCUACCUAUAAGACUGGGAUAACUUCGGGAAACCGGAGCUAAUACCGGAUAAUAUAUUGAACCGCAUGGUUCAAUAGUGAAAGACGGUUUUGCUGUCACUUAUAGAUGGAUCCGCGCCGCAUUAGCUAGUUGGUAAGGUAACGGCUUACCAAGACAACGAUGCGUAGCCGACCUGAGAGGGUGAUCGGCCACACUGGAACUGAGACACGGUCCAG
rnacentral:rRNA from 1 species